UACCCUUUUGGCCAGUUGGACUGAAG
rnacentral:piRNA from 1 species